UACGAAGGGGGCUAGCGUUGCUCGGAAUUACUGGGCGUAAAGGGCGCGUAGGCGGUUCUAUAAGUCAGGCGUGAAAUUCCUGGGCUUAACCUGGGGGCUGCGCUUGAGACUGUGGGACUUGAGGUCAGAAGAGGGUCGUGGAAUUCCCAGUGUAGAGGUGAAAUUCGUAGAUAUUGGGAAGAACACCUGUGGCGAAGGCGGCUCUCUGGGACGGUACUGACGCUGAGACGCGAAAGCGUGGGGAGCAAACAGG
rnacentral:rRNA from 1 species